GGCGAUGGUUGUCGUCAGCUCGUGUCGUGAGAUGUUGGUUAAGUCCCGCAACGAGCGCAACCCCUAUUGUUAGUUGCCAUCAUUCAGUUGGGCACUCUAGCGAGACUGCCGGUAAUAAACCGGAGGAAGGUGGGGAUGACGUCAAAUCAUCAUGCCCCUUAUGACCUGGGCUACACACGUGCUACAAUGGUUGGUACAACGAGUUGCGAGUCGGUGACGGCGAGCUAAUCUCUUAAAGCCAAUCUCAGUUCGGAUUGUAGGCUGCAACUCGCCUACAUGAAGUCGGAAUCGCUAGUAAUCGCGGAUCAGCACGCCCGCGGUCGAAUACGUUCCGGGCCUU
rnacentral:rRNA from 1 species